GAAACUAUAGUCAAUAUACUAUAUGACAUAUAAUUUGCACUUAUAAAGAGUUUUAAACUAGUUUCA
rnacentral:tRNA from 1 species